rnacentral:sRNA from 1 species
GUUGGGUGUGGUGGUGCAUACCUGUAAUCCCAGUUACUGGGAAGGCUGAGGCAGGAGUACUGCAAAUUCAAGGCCAGCUUGGCAAUUUAGCAAGACACUUAAUGAGACCCUCAGCAAAUUUGCGAGACCAUGUCUCAA